ensembl:processed_transcript
GCGCUUCACUUAAUUACGAACACCUGACCUGCAGUGUAGCAGAAUUCAGAGGUAAGCGUGUUUUUUGAUUCUUUAAUCUUUUAUUUACCCCCGAUUUUGUUUUACACACAGUUUAUCUUAGACGUGACUUUUGAGGUGUAGUAUUUCGAAUUUUGAAGCUUUUAAAACUUUCCAGUUUGGUUUUAGUCUUGUUUGCGCUUCUGUGACGCAGCAGCUAACCUCGAGGUAAUGUCACAUGUUUAACGUUAGUCUAAAUGAGCGUUUUUAUGGCAAAUUCAAAGCGAUAAACUCCAAACGCAGUUUAAAGUUACUGAGCAACGUUAUAAAACAAUAUCUUUUUUAUAUACGCUGUAUAAUUAGUGUUAUUAUUACAAAGUGAACUGCUGUCGUUUCACUGUUGUUGUUGUUUUUGCUUUUAGAGAUGUAACUUACUCCAGAGACGCACUAACUUGCACAGCAUUGAAUGGAAAAGGCUUUGUCCAUGUCCAGUUGAGGGCAUCAAGAACACGCAGAUGGCCUAAACCUGUGUCAGUCUGGACAGACUGCAGAUCUGCUACUCAACGCCAAGGCUUUUGUAUGGAUGUCUGACUACUACUGUGUUCUCUAAAGGUUUUCUGGAAGCUCCAGUUGAGGGCUUCAAGGACAAACCGAUGGCCUAAACAAGUGUCAGCCUGGACAGACAUCUAUUGCAGUUCUGCUACACAAGACCAAACUCUCUGCUUUUGUAUGGAUGUCUGACUAGUACGGUGUUCUCUGGAGGUAUUACUGGAGCAAAACAACAGCAUCCGUUACAGUG